CGGCUCCAGGUCCCCGGAAGUGCAGGAAGCGCUCGGAGAGGGCGGCUCAACCCGCUUCCGGCCGCCUCCGGCCCCCGCACCGCCCACAGCCGGAAGCCUGGCCCUGCGCGGCAUGCCGGGAGGCCUUCGCUGGCCCCGCCCCGUGCCGGCGCCCCGCCCCCUCAGCGCCCGUCCGCCCUCCCGCUCCGUCUCCCCAGGGGCGCGGCCGGCGCCUACACGGCCCGACUCGACCCAUCCGGGCCUCGCCUCUGUCCUCGGGUGACCGCCGCGAGGGAGGCGGGAGCUCGUGACUAGGCCCUCAGAGGCGCGUCGGGCCGCCUCCGUCGUCUGAGUCCCACGUCUGGUUAGGAUCCCCGUUACGCUUUUCACUCCACGGCUGUAGAAAGCGCCCUGCGGCCCAGGGCCUACCGCGAGGGGCGCCUGGGCUGGGACGCCGGUUGGAGGCGGCCCAGCUUCUGACCCGGGAGAAUCUCUGUCCACGCGCCAGGGUCCUGGGAGACCAGCCUCCCGGACGCAAGUGGGGUGUCCAGGCGGGCCGUCCGCGCCUAACGUGCGGCCACCGGCGGCGUCCCUCGUGAUCAACAAGGCUUGGUGGCGGGAAAUGAAAGGUCAGACUUGCUGAAGAUUCCCUUGGAAGUGAAUUCUCCAGCCCUCGGCGAGCUAUGAGGUGACCACAGUCCCUCAGCCCGACAGCUUGACAGCAACCUCUGGAGACCCUGAGGCAGAAACGCUGAACUAAGCCAUUCCCUGAUUCCUGACCCUCAGACACUUGGGGAGAGAAUAAAUGUUGCUUUAAGCUCCUAA